UCCGCACAAAAGUGCAACAUAAACUUGAGAUUUAAGAAUAACCAACACGGUGACUGAUAGUGAUAAAAAAUAUUAAAACAACAGUGUUUAUGAAGCAAGCAAGUAGUUCACUUAAAUAAAACUGAACAGUGCGAGCAUGAGCAAGAAUUGACGGUGAAAUAUACGACAGACACACACCAGCAAAUAGAUAGUUGAACAGGAAGCAUUGCUUACCUAGGUCACAUUUAUUGCUGUCUUCGGCAUUCAUUACAGCAGUCACAACACAAACGAUGCUCACCACUCUCAGAAAAAUUUUGUGUUUCAGUGCACCUGCUCCUCAGAACGCCUAGACCUCAAUGAAUUACAAUUGCAGUAGACUUGUGCUGAUGUUUUAUUGCGCAGCCAUGUAUGAUAACGGUCGCUUCUGAUAACGGCGCGCCCACUAUGGAUGAAAAGGCGAGUGGCGGCUCAACUGCAAGCGGAGUCGAGGGCUCGCAAAGCUGCUGCAGUAUGGCGAAGUUGACAGCAAGCGGACCCGGAGUCUAGGGCGCGGGAAGCUGCAGCAAAACGGCAACGCCGGCAAGCGGACCCGGAGCUGAGGGCUCGCGAAGCUCGCGCUUGAACCGAGCAUCGACGCCACCAACGUCAGGUAGAGGACGCUUAAUUCCGGCGUUUUCCCGCCGCUUCCCGCGCUCUCGCCGCCUCUGGGUCCGCUUGCCGGCGUCGCCAUGCUGCUGCACUGAUCACAAGACAGUCUUAAUGAAGGGAAAACGAAGUCCGCACCUCAAUACCAUA